rnacentral:lncRNA from 1 species
UUAUAGCAUUAAGGUUGGAUGAAGCUGUAUGGAAGCAACUUCUUCAUUCUGAGCAGAGUUUGUAAAUACCAGAUUAGUAAGGCUUUCCUUGACAUCAAAAUCAUUGAUCAGUCUUAAAGUCAACUGUAAAGUAUCUGAAUGUACAUAGUAUGCAACAGCUGUGUUUCAGUUCAUCUAGGUAUGGAGUUUUUCAUAUGUGCCAGAGGUGAAUCUGCUCCUAACAGUGAAGGGGAAAAAGCAUGCUAAAAUUACAGCUGUGGUUUUGUGAGAGCUCUAGCCUGAGACUGCCAGUAUCUGGUUUGGAAUCCUUCAGUUUCCUGGAGUUACUCCAUUUCUGCUGUAUUUUCUUGUUUGUUCGUUGUUCUGUUGAAUAAGUCUUAUGUACCUAAAUUUUUUUUUUUUGAUUGUGAUCAGGAGAAAGAAUGCCUCUUCCGGGAACAGGAAAGAAUAUUGCUAUCAUGGCAUUUGUGGUCCAGUACUUGCAUUGCAAGGUGCUGUGGAGAAUGAAGAUUCAGACCAAGACAGGGUCCUCAGUCUCUUACUAGAAAGAGGACCUCCUGCAUCUUGUUGAAAUGUCAUCAUCACAGGCUAAAAGGUCAUGUUCUCUAGUUUUGUGAGAAGGUUUGUUUUGGGACUCUGGGAGAACACAGCUCAGUUAUAACUGAGUGAGUAUUUUUCAGAAAUUAUACCCUGAAGAUGUGGUGUUGGGUCUCAUCCUUUUGUGUUGCAAUUUCUUCUGAACAAUUUAAAAUCCUAGAAGGGACUGGUGUUCUCAUAGUCUGACAUCCCACUCAAAGCAGGGCUAUUGUUGGAGCUAGAUGAGAUCACUUGGGGCCUUGUUGAGUUUUGAAUAACUCCAGAAAUGGAGAUUCAGAUGCUCUGGGUAGCCUGUUUCAAUACUUACUCUGUUAUGAAAACUUUCCUAAUAACCAUUUCCCAUGCUGCAACGUCUGUCCAUUGCCAUUUGUCCUUUCUCUCUGUAUCUCCAAGAUGAGUGACUUUCUCUAUAAUUACUAAUCAGGUAAGUGAAGAUAAGUUAGCUCCCCAUGGAUUUCUUUAAAUGUUGUCUCAUAAGCGGUUCUAAAAAUCUUCUGUGUAGCUUUAGGCAUCAAAACACCUAUGAAAUUCUGCACAAGACUGUGCUCUCCAAGUAAUAUUACUAAAAGGACUCUCUGUUCUCUUAUGAGCUAUAGUAACAGCUAUAGUCAUGUUUCUGUGCCAUCUCUAAAUUUAGCUCUACCUGUAAGUUUUGUCUGAGAAGAAGAGAUGAUGGGAAUAUACUGCCUUCAUGAAGAACAUCUCUGUGAUUAAUAUCUGAGAGAGCAUGUUACUUCAGAGUUCUUGUUUGGCUUUAGAUUCCUUAUUUGUAGUUUCAGUUUUAUAGAGCUAUUCUUUCAAAUUUAAGGAUAUUGGGCUUUUUUGGAUGCAGACUUUGGCAGUGCAUUUAUACAUCCAAUUGUUUUUGCUCUCUCUUAAUUAGACACUGUAGAUUUCUUGAUAUAAAGUGCCAUCUGUUGAAAAUUAUAAGUAUUGUACAUUCAAUGUUUGGCUUCUUUUCUACCUUCCAUCCACAUACAAUCUUUUAAAGGCUGCCAUCAGUCUGAAAUAUUGAGUAAUCCGAAAAUACUGAUUAAAAACAUCUUCUAGACACUGACAUCUCAAAGGUGCUUUUGAAAUUUUGGUUAAAAGCAAAAAAAAAAUUUUUUGCUAAACUUUUAGUCUUUGUUUUCAACAGUUUGUUGAAAAAAGUGUAUGCAAAGGUUCAAAAUGGGUUUACUCUUUUGCAAAGGUGUUUUUCACAUGAUGAAUGAUGUUUUGUAUGUAAAGGACAGUAAACCAAAUUAUUUAUUCAGAGCCUUGGAUCUCUCAUUCAUUCCCACUUCAAACUGACUACUUCAGAUUUGACUUUGGCUGUAAAUUUUAAACUUUGAUGUAAAUAGAUUACUUUCCCUAAAUAAGUAAUUUAAAGCAAAAUAAUUCUCUGCAGUACAAAAUUUAAUGUCGGAUGCUUCUGAAAAUGGG